GGCAAGGAUAAAUUUAGAGGAGCUGGCAUCCAGAGCAGAUAAAUUGUUUAAUAGUCUGAAGUGGCAUCUAGACAGCGUUUGAGUAUGACAUGUAUCUUAGAAGGCUAAAUCAUACAAAUAAAAGAAGACUCUAAUUCUGUACCUUAAGCUACCUCUGUGGGCUUGGGGAGUCCUAGAUACAGAUUUUUUCUCCCAGAACUGUUGGUAUUUUACUGUCAUUAGAUAUGUAUAUACACACGCCUAGGAAAUUAGGAGAGGUUCUGGAUUCUGUUCUUGGCAUCAUGCACUGAAACAUGUCAUUAUGAUGUAAAUUCUUUAUUUGAAUGACAGGUUCCUUUGAAAGUCCUGAACUGCUGUCAUAAAGGUAAUUCUGCAUUAUAUUUAUUCAUAUCAUUAGUUUUGGAAGAGAAUGUGUUUAUUUUAAUUUUCAUUCAUAUAGAAUUUCAAAGGGGAAGAAAUUGUGGGAUUAAGAUUAUCCCAUCAGGAAAAGCAAUCAUACAUGUAAUAGCCAGCCACGAUUGACCACACAUCAUGAUGGCUCUAUAAAGAAGGAGAAAAAAAAAAGAAAAGAAUUUCAGCCAGUUGGGAAGCUGUCCCAGACACUGAUGAAGAGAUAAUAAUUAAUGAUAGGAUUUCUAUUCAUUUAUUUAUUUAGAGACAGAUGCAUUACUAAUUUUAACCUCAAAAGGACAUUUCAGCCUUGCAAAUUGUACAGAUUUUUGGAUGGCACUUUUUAGAUAUCUCCAUAAGGAAUGUGGACUUUGCUAUUGGCCUUUUGUUUUUUUCAAGGGUCCUUUCAGUCUAAAGGAACUCCCCUCCCUGUUUCACUUUCUACUCAGCUGAAAAUAUGAAAUCUGUGGGUCAUAUUUUGAUGUCCUAUAAGCUUAUUUACCUCAGUAACUAUUCAUCACUCAGAGCAAAAGAUAAAAAUUUGACCUAGUUGAUUUCACUGGGAUCAGGGAUUUGCUCAAGCAUUUUCUAAUCCAGGCUUGAAAAAGUCCUUGUCAUGUAUGUCAAAUCUAAAACCUUGUAUCCCUUUCUUGCUCUACAUGACAGUCCUUUUGUCUGUGAAAAGAGGAUACUGGUGCAUACUGGUGCAGCUUAUUGCCAGUAUUUAGACGCUAUUUUAAUAGCCUUUUUUUUUUUUUUUUUCCCCACUAUUGAUUUAUUUUCUCUCUUACAUAUUACCAAAGAAUGUAAAAGGCUGCCCCCUGAAGUCAUUGAUGGAUAUGUUGAUUGUCUUUGGACGGAGUCCUGCAAGUUUCCUGUUAGAAACAUUUUGACACCCUGUUAUCUUCCUGAGUUGAUCAGACACCUGCUGCUACCCCACCUGCCUUCUUGGCAACAAGAAAUGCCUGUCUGCCUCGCUUUCCUAGUUCCUUCCCCACCUCCUCUCUCACUGUGUAAGCAUCAACAGGUGGGAUUAAUUGUGAGGAAGGAUGUUGUGCCAAUGCCUUGUUGCUGGCAUAGAAGCAGGGACUCCUGUAGAGAGGACAGCACAUGAGGGUUUAAGAAGGCUGCUCUGCAGAAGUCAGUGCUGUCUGGCACCCAUGCCUUACUAGAAGGGUCCAACCAACUUUGGAGCAGGCAGGGUGCCAUCCUGACAGAUGGAUGGAAAGGGAGCCAAGGCACCAGUCAUGGAUUUGGCAAGAAAGGAACUUGCUCUUCAAGGGAUCACAGAGUUGCGGUUCUCCAGCCUGCUGGUGUCCACCACAAACUGACCUGAUGGCUGCAACAUCUGAAAGUGCUACAGAAUUAUUUCAUUUUAGAAGUGGUUAACAGUAUAUGUUAAGAGCAAGUAACAUUUCUAAUAACUGAAACAGUGUUAAAUAAGAAAAUGAUGAAAGCUAGCGCACUUUAGUUAUUGUAACACCAAACAGAACUCUUGGCCUUUUUAACAGCCAACUUCCUUGAAACUCUGAAUAGGCCUUAAAUGAGAAAUACAUUUUAAUAACACAGGAGCACAGUGUCUAGACAGGCAACUUUCUAAUUGUCUUUUGCAUAAAUGAGUACAGUAUUCAUAAAAAUAUAGGUCAAAAGGAAAUACAUUAUGGCCUAAAACAUUUAGAACAGAUUUAUCUAUCUAACUCAGAAAAGCUCAGCUAAUAAAUAUGAGCAGUUUCAAUGAGAGUCAAUAUUAAUGAUGAUUGGCUUUGUCUGGAUUUAUGUUUCAAGUGUAAUAGUCACACUUGUAUGUAUUCCUUGACAUCUGACAAAGAGUGAGUGCAGGGUAAGAGGAGGAAUUAAUAAAAUCGUAUUCUAUCUGUUGUUGUGAAACUUGCUGGGGCUUAAUAUUCCCCUAUUGCUUUGUUGAAUUUUUUUUUAAAUUAUACAAUAGGCCCAAAAGUUAUUGGGAAGAAAACUGAUGGAAGAAAUAUAUUUCAGCAGAACUGUGUAAGCUUCUUUCCUUGAGGAAACCAGGCCAAGAAACAGAGGUAUUAGUCUGCCUCAUUUUGAAUGACCCUAUGACAUAGUGAUUAAUCCUUAAAAAUGUAACAGAUUAUAGCAAAAUCAUAAGUACUCCUGUUCAUAAUCUUCUAUUUGCACUUGUUAGAUGGCAUUUAACUUCAUGAAUAGUCACACAGAGUGUGGUAGCAUCAGCUGUUAGUGUAAGAUGCUGAGAAUCUACCUUAAUGAAAAAAGAAACAUCAUUCGCUGUAACCGGCUAAGCCAUAUCAAUAAAAUUAGAUUUCAGGGGUGAAAUCGUUGAACUACUGAUGUAAUUGGCAAAAUUCCUGGAGAUUUUUAAUAGGGCCAGGAUUGCACCAUAGGAGUGUUGGCUCUCUUUGGUUUACAAAUAAAUCACAAAGCAUUCCCAUUCAUGUUUGUGUUGGCUGCUCUAAGUAUUUAUGAACAGAUUAGGACAGAAAUUUUCUGGAUUUGUAGCCUACAGAGUGUCUUUUUUUUUUUUCAUUGAUGAUUCAUUGUCUCUUUUUUAUUGUGUGUGACUGACAUCUUUUCUUGACUGGAUAGAUGUUUCUUCUUUACAGGAGACAAAUAAUUAAUAAAUAGCAAAUAAUCCACUUCUGACAAGAAUUUGAAACAUAGUAUUAAUUCACAAGUAUUUCUUAAAUAAUUUUUCUCCAGUACAAUUUAACAAGGAAAAAGUAAGAUUCCAUGAAGAGUAGCAAAAUUUGAGUUUUUUAUUCACAAACUUCAUUUAUAAGCUUAUUCUCUUUGCCUGAUUACUUCCAAAAAUAUGCAAUACUCCCUCUCUGUUGUAUUUUAUUACUUAUGUUGGUUCAUAGCUUUCCAUUUUACUGCUCAAAUCUUGUAUUUUUCUCAUCUUUAUGGGCUCACGCACAUUUCCUGCUAUUGCUUUACGUACUUGUAAUAUCUAUGGACUCACACUAUAUGAUCUCAAUUUAUCAUUAUUGUUUUCCUCUCUGUGAUAUAUUAUUGUAAAUGUGGAAGAUAAAGUCUCCACAGGAAACCUAUAUCUUAUCUGUAAAUUGAACUUCUUUGUUGCUUAUAAGGUUCAUAUAAUGCAUUUUUGAUAAUACAUAAUUGAUGUAUCUAAUAAAUGUCCAAAGGUAACAUUUUAA